GGAGGUGUCAUUUGGUAGGUUUUGAGUGAAAUCCAAUCUCUAGAACUAUGCAAUACGCCAAUCAAUCCAUUUUAGAACGAACUUCGUACUAACCUGAAUUGUCCAAUUUCGUGGACCAAUCGAUAUCGGAUUGAAUCUAAAACUUGGGGAACAUCAUAAUAUGGUGGGAGGAGUCAUUUGGUGCUCUUUGAGUGAAAUCUAAUAUCUAAAACAAUGUAAAACACAAGCCACUCCAUUUCAGAACGAACUUCGUACGAGCCUGAAUUGUUCAAUUUCAGGGACCAUUCGAUAUCGGAUUGAGUCCAAAACUUGGGGAACAUCGUAAUAUGGUGGGAUGAGUCAUUUAGUGCUCUUUGAGUAAAAUCCAAUAUCUAAAACAAUGUAGCACACAAACUACUCCAUUUCAGAACAAACUUCGUACGUACCUAAAUUGUCCAAUUUAAUAGACCAUUCGAUAUCGGAUUGAGUCCAAAACUUGGGGAACAUCAUAAUAUGGUGGGAGGAGUCAUUUGGUGCUCUUUGAGUGAAAUCCAAUAUCUAAAACAAUGUAAAUCACAAACCACUCCAUUUUAGAACGAACUUCGUACGAACCUGAAUUGUCCAAAUUCAUGGACCAAUUGACAUCGGAUUGAGUCCAAAACAACGGGAACAUCAUAAUAUGGUGGGAGGAGUCAUUUGGUGACUUUUCAGUGAAAUCCAAUCUCUAAAACUAUGAAAUACACCAACCACUCCAUUUCAGAACGAACUUCGUAUG
rnacentral:lncRNA from 1 species